rnacentral:rRNA from 1 species
GACGAACGCUGGCGGCGUGCUUAACACAUGCAAGUCGAACGGAAAGGCCCUGCUUUUGUGGGGUGCUCGAGUGGCGAACGGGUGAGUAACACGUGAGUAACCUGCCCUUGAACUUGGGAUAACUUCAGGAAACUGGGGCUAAUACCGGAUAGGAGCUCCUGCUGCAUGGUGGGGGUUGGAAAGUUUCGGUGGUUGGGGAUUGAAUCGCGGCUUAUCAGCUUGUUGGUGGGGUAGUGGCUUACCAAGGUUUUGGCGGGUAGCCGGCCUGGGAGGGUGACCGGCCUCAUUGGUACUGCGGUACGGCCCAGAAUCCAACUGGAGGCAGCAGUGGGAAAUAUUGAACAAUGGGCGGAAGCCUGAUGCAGCGACGCCGCGUGCGGAAUAACGGCCUUCUAGUUAUAACCCGCUUUCGCCUGUAACGUAGCGUGAGUGACGGUAAUGAGUAAAGAAGCACCGGCUAACUACGUG